GAACAUAUGCUUGGGCUUGGCAAUCUCCAAUGCAGUAAACUGCAUCCUCAACUCAAGAUCUUCAACCAGAGCUUCAAACUGUAAGGCAGAGCUUAGGUGUCUGCCUCCUAGGCCGAGGUAAGAAAAUAAAGUAUAUACAGACACAACAUGUGUCAAAUGAGGUUUGUCCAUUGUGCACAGCCUCCCCAUGCUUGUUCUUUUUCUUUUUCUUUCCCC
rnacentral:lncRNA from 1 species